CCAUACAUACACCGGAACACCUUGCCCUCAAGGCUCAUACUGUCCGGCCGGUACCCAAUAUGCAGCCCAAUACUGUGCCCCAUGGGAACCUACAACAACAACACCCUUGCAGAUGACAUCUUUGACUGCAAAUCAUGCACAGCUGGUCAGUACUUGACCAGGACGGG